GGCCAGACUCCUACGGGAGGCAGCAGUGGGGAAUAUUGGACAAUGGGGGAAACCCUGAUCCAGCGACGCCGCGUGAGUGAAGAAGUAUUUCGGUACGUAAAGCUCUAUCAGCAGGAAAGAAAAUGACGGUACCUGACUAAGAAGCCCCGGCUAACUACGUGCCAGCAGCCGCGGUAAUACGUAGGGGGCAAGCGUUAUCCGGAUUUACUGGGUGUAAAGGGCGUGUAGGCGGGGACGCAAGUCAGAUGUGAAAGCCACGGGCUCAACCUGUGGCCUGCAUUUGAAACUGUGUUUCUUGAGUACUGGAGAGGCAGACGGAAUUCCUAGUGUAGCGGUGAAAUGCGUAGAUAUUAGGAGGAACACCAGUGGCGAAGGCGGUCUGCUGGACAGCAACUGACGCUGAGGCGCGAAAGCGUGGGGAGCAAACAGGAUUAGAUACCCUAGUA
rnacentral:rRNA from 1 species